rnacentral:rRNA from 1 species
GAUGAACGCUGGCGGCGCGCCUAAUACAUGCAAGUCGAGCGAACGGACGAGAAGCUUGCUUCUCUGAUGUUAGCGGCGGACGGGUGAGUAACACGUGGAUAACCUACCUAUAAGACUGGGAUAACUUCGGGAAACCGGAGCUAAUACCGGAUAAUAUUUUGAACCGCAUGGUUCAAAAGUGAAAGACGGUCUUGCUGUCACUUAUAGAUGGAUCCGCGCUGCAUUAGCUAGUUGGUAAGGUAACGGCUUACCAAGGCAACGAUGCAUAGCCGACCUGAGAGGGUGAUCGGCCACACUGGAACUGAGACACGGUCCAGACUCCUACGGGAGGCAGCAGUAGGGAAUCUUCCGCAAUGGGCGAAAGCCUGACGGAGCAACGCCGCGUGAGUGAUGAAGGUCUUCGGAUCGUAAAACUCUGUUAUUAGGGAAGAACAUAUGUGUAAGUAACUGUGCACAUCUUGACGGUACCUAAUCAGAAAGCCACGGCUAACUACGUGCCAGCAGCCGCGGUAAUACGUAGGUGGCAAGCGUUAUCCGGAAUUAUUGGGCGUAAAGCGCGCGUAGGCGGUUUUUUAAGUCUGAUGUGAAAGCCCACGGCUCAACCGUGGAGGGUCAUUGGAAACUGGAAAACUUGAGUGCAGAAGAGGAAAGUGGAAUUCCAUGUGUAGCGGUGAAAUGCGCAGAGAUAUGGAGGAACACCAGUGGCGAAGGCGACUUUCUGGUCUGUAACUGACGCUGAUGUGCGAAAGCGUGGGGAUCAAACAGGAUUAGAUACCCUGGUAGUCCACGCCGUAAACGAUGAGUGCUAAGUGUUAGGGGGUUUCCGCCCCUUAGUGCUGCAGCUAACGCAUUAAGCACUCCGCCUGGGGAGUACGACCGCAAGGUUGAAACUCAAAGGAAUUGACGGGGACCCGCACAAGCGGUGGAGCAUGUGGUUUAAUUCGAAGCAACGCGAAGAACCUUACCAAAUCUUGACAUCCUUUGACAACUCUAGAGAUAGAGCCUUCCCCUUCGGGGGACAAAGUGACAGGUGGUGCAUGGUUGUCGUCAGCUCGUGUCGUGAGAUGUUGGGUUAAGCCCCGCAACGAGCGCAACCCUUAAGCUUAGUUGCCAUCAUUAAGUUGGGCACUCUAAGUUGACUGCCGGUGACAAACCGGAGGAAGGUGGGGAUGACGUCAAAUCAUCAUGCCCCUUAUGAUUUGGGCUACACACGUGCUACAAUGGACAAUACAAAGGGCAGCGAAACCGCGAGGUCAAGCAAAUCCCAUAAAGUUGUUCUCAGUUCGGAUUGUAGUCUGCAACUCGACUACAUGAAGCUGGAAUCGCUAGUAAUCGUAGAUCAGCAUGCUACGGUGAAUACGUUCCCGGGUCU